UACGAAGGGUGCAAGCGUUACUCGGAAUUACUGGGCGUAAAGUGUGCGUAGGUGGUGAUUUAAGUCCGUUGUGAAAGCCCUGGGCUCAACCUGGGAAUUGCAGUGGAUACUGGGUCACUAGAAUGUGGUAGAGGGUAGCGGAAUUCCUGGUGUAGCAGUGAAAUGCGUAGAGAUUAGGAGGAACAUCCGUGGCGAAGGCGGCUACCUGGACCAACAUUGACACUGAGGCACGAAAGCGUGGGGAGCAAACAGG
rnacentral:rRNA from 1 species